rnacentral:lncRNA from 1 species
UCGACAUAAUGAUGUUAAUCGAAAGUUGGGGAAAUGUAAUUGAGUUUCAUCUUCUGAUAAAUAUGCUGCAAGGAGUUUAAGCAAAAAGAAGUUUUGCUUGUUUACAUCUAUUUUGAACUCAGACGGACUGAUGGAUUUGGAUUUGGCUUUACGGAUGGAUCAGUUAGGUGUUAUGUUAGCUCAUUAGAAGAUAAUUAAAUUGCAUAAAAUUCGAUCUGUAUUUCAUUUCAUUACUACAAUAUUUUGUAUCAACUCUGAAGCUUUCAAAAGGUAUUGAAGUCGUUUGUUUAAGCUUCAAUCUAUUCUUAAGAUUGUACACACAAUUGUAUUAGCAAGUUACAAACAAAUGUUUAGUAUCUUCUCAAGUUGAAAUGCUGGUUUUGCAUUGAUGAGACUUGUUCACAUUCGAUAGAAUCUGAUACUUCAGCUGAAUACAGAUUGUUUUAUUGAAAAAUUGAUUUUCGAAAAGAGUUCGUUUUAUUUUGAAGUAUUUUCGACUUUUAGGAGUCGCCACUUAAUUUUUUAAGAAAAAUCAAGAAAACUUAUUUCCAAAACAACUUAAACAGAAAAAUUUGUUUUGAAAAUAUUUUAGGAGGGUUCAGAUUCCUAUUAGCGUCUCAGGAAGGUGUUUAAAGCACCUAAGACGCUCCGCUAACUACGAUUUUCCGACGAUUAACUUAUUUGACUAUUUUGUUUUAAAGACUUGCAAAUUUUGAACUUCUUAAGAUAUCUAGGCAAACUUUAUAAGUUUCGAAAUAUUUACUUUGCAAAAUCAUUUUUUAAGGCUAAAACACUUUAUAUUCAAACAAACUUGUAGAAUAUUAGCUUCAAGAUUUCGCUAAAGUUGAACUUUUUUAAACUUUUACUCUAAGCAAUUUUCCAAACUUAAACAUCUAUCUUUCUUAACACUUAAAUUUAAUUUUAAUCUUGAUAAAAGUAGAGAGGCAUUUCGACGGGGAUUUGAAGUUUUCUAAUCCUAACUCUAACGAUACUUUAAACAAACGCACAUAAGCAAGUAAUAAGGAGAGAGAGAGAGAUUUUGGGUCCAACUUCGGUUCUGUUCGCCUUGACCGAAUGUUGGACCCACCUGCUUUUUGGGCUUCGACCCAUUUCUCUUUCGUACCUGUCCUAGUCUAAACAUGCAAAAUAAAUUUCAAGGAAAUAAGACAACAAGGGCUUAUGCCCAUUACAAAAUGAAAUACAAAAAUAUAAAAAUAAAGUAAAACGUCUUCUAAUCCUCUUCUUCGAAUUUCUUCAAUCUUCAAGGGAUUUCAAUUUCGAGGAGCUGUCCACCGGAUUUUAUGACUUUGACUCGGCAAGAAGAAAUCGAGCCUUUUAUGGUCUUUCUUAAAGAUGCCAAAGGGGAGAGUCCAUUGGACUCGUUCGGAGAGAGAGUUAUGCAAAGAAGAAGAAAGAAAUAGAAAUAAGUGAUUUAACAAGAAAGGUCCAACAUUAGUUUAAUACAUAAAUAAACUCAAACAAUACACAAAUAAUGCAAGUCGAGUAUGUUAAACAAUGGAGGAAACCAACAGAAUCGGAGAAAGAUUAAUUUCCAAAUCUAAUCAAAAGCUUCAUAUUCAAACUAAUAAAUAACACCACCACAAGUUCAACCACGUACUUAAAACAAGAAGAAGAUCAUAAUAGAAACAUAUUCAAGAGAAAAGGGCUCCAAAGCUCACAGUGAUUUAACCUACACACUACGUAUAACAACAACUAAACAGAGGCUUCCUAAUGCAUCGACUAUCAGGUAAAUUCCUACUUGAACCCAACAGUUGACUAAGCCAAACGGAGUUCAAACAGAUUCACCAAACUGUAGGAAUAAACGAGUUUAAACUCAACUAGGCUCAUGUCGAGAUGAAGAAUAACCUUAAACGCAACGUGACCAACAAAAUCGAAUUAAAAAGAAAAAGAAAAAUAAGCAUGGUCUCGACCUCUUUAGCAAAUGCCAUCUAGACCGAAAUAAAGCACAGAGAUACAUUUUGAAAAGUCUAAAACAUGGAACCGAUGAAGACCCACAGCAUUCGCAAGUAACAACAACGACUUAUCAUAUCUCAUCUAAUAUUGCGACAAAACGCGACUUAACAGAUGAUAACUUAAAUAAACUUGACUUGAGGGGAAACGAAGGGAUAGCAAUAGACGAGCAGCCGAACAAUAAGACGAAACACGAAAACGCAAUGGAGAAACAGCAACAACGAGAUUUUCCAUUCUUUCUCCUCCUCUUUUUUUUUCUUUAUAGCAGCAAAAGAACAAGCCAACGAAUAGAGAAGACCAACAACGAAUAUCAUUUAUCACGUGACAUCGAAACCAGACGCAACUUAGACAACAACAAUUAGCUACUUAACGUGAGAAAGAAACAAAAAAAACUAAGAUGAAAAUAGAAGAGCAGCAAUCAAAGCAUGGCAACACAUAUAAAUGAGCCAGACUAUUAUUACAUGAAAAACAACAGACGCAGCCAACAAGAAGAUUUUAAAAUAAUAAAGAAACGGGGGAUGUACCUUCCUCGGAGCAGCAGAACGGGGACAAUACGAGCAGGGGAUGGGGACGACUACCACCGUGCGAGCACGAACACCAGUCCAACGCAAGCUAGCUUAGAAAACUUCCUCCUCUCCUUUCUAAGAACACGAGACAAGUCUUCCUCUGUAGACACCUCUGUGAUAAGAAAAUCUAAACAAGGUUUCUAAUCCCCCCUGUUCAUCCAAAAGGUCUAACCCCUCAGAAUUUCAAACCUCUGAAAUUUGAACUCUAAAUCGUCAAACUACGACAAAACCGAAAAGCAACAGAAUACUCUCGAAUUUUAUCUCAACCUUUUUGUGAUGGUACCCCCAAAAAAUUCCCAGAAAAAUCGUUCCCCCCCCAAGUUUCUAACACUUUGUCUUAAAAAUCUAUUUCCGAAAAUCCAACAAAAAUCGCCAACCCCUUUUUGAAGAGAGGUGGGGGUUUAUAUAGGUGAAGCUAGGGUUUCGAGGGAGCGGGUAAGACGAUUUCCGCCCAUUUUGAAUUUGUAAUUCAAAAUUCCGCAUCUGAAGGAAUAUGCCACUUUGAUGCCAAGAUUCCCAAUGGAAUCGAGUUGAGGUGGAGGGACGAGAUUAUUCCAUCGUCCCUUUGCCCUUGCGUGGCUCGAAUCCGCAUCGCAAGGACGGAUUCGUGUCGUUUUGCACUGCAAGUCGUACGAAAAAGGGAGACGUCGCAGAGGCUGCAGAGGUCCGUUGGAUUAUUUCGUUCCUCCACGCGCUAAAGAGAGAGGGAGAUAGGUGGGGGAGAGUAUCUCGCGUGAGAGACGCGGGAGAGAGGGCGUGGGGGCAACGUGGUUUCUGUUGGGGUCGCGUGGGGGAGGGUUUGGCGUUUCUGGGUUCUGUUUGCUGUUCUGGCAGGAAAAAACGUGAGGAAAGGGGGAAGAAAAGGGAGGCUGGGUCGGGUCAGGGGGACGGGUCAAAAGGCGGGUUAUGGGUUUAAGUUUAGUGGGUUGGGUUGGAAGUUUGGGCCUAGGUGUUGGGCUGUCUAGGUUGGGUUGUUGGGUAAUUAAAAAAUUGAAAGAGGGAGAAGUGGGAGAAUUGGGGGACGUUUGGGCCUGAAGGGAACUUGGGCCUGGCUUGGAAGAGGAGGGGUGUGGGCUGAUGGGGGGAAAUUGGGUUGGUUUCGAAUAUACACAAGAUAUACCGGCUAUAUACACCACUAUGUAAACGUUAACAAGUUAUAUUUUUUGCAAAAUUAUAAAACUAAUUAAUUUAAAUUAUUUGGAGAACUCAUGAAGCUCGCUAAUUGAAUUACGCCGACGUGGGUCAAAAUUGGGUGUCAACAACUGUCCCUCAUUUUACUUGGGUUGGUGCAAGCAACUCGAGGAAAAUGAAAUUGACCGAACCAAUUUUGACCAACUCCAUUUUUUUUAAAGGAUUUGACAAAGGGUUUAGGAAUUAUGGCCGAACCCUCAAAACGGGUUUCCUACAUAUCUCAGGCUAUAUGAGAAUUCAGGCCACUUGUAGUUCGAUAAGCUUGAUUUAUCGCACGAUUUUGAAGGAAUCAAAAGCUACCUCUAUACCGAAUUAUGAAGGUAUCGAAAUGCUUGAGAAUAGGAUUCGAGAGCGAAUAUUAGAAUACAGCCGAGUCUUCAACAUUGAAUCCGCCUACUUAUCCCUAAACCUUCGGAAUCAGACUGUGUGUAGUUCAACUCGAUUGGUGGAAAAAGAAAUCUAUUAUGCUAGAUAACCUUUGGUUCUGGACAAGGGACAAAUUAACGAGUAUGAAAAGGAGGCUUGUAACCUCUUAGCCAUGAAUGUGGCGCGCUUCACACCCACAAUUAAGAACUUACACGGACAUAAUUUCCAAAACUCUUGGCGUAUUGUCACUCAGAUUGGAAACUUGCCUCCGAUAAAUCGAAACUUUCGGAUGCGAGACUGAGACUGACAGAACUAAAGAAAGACCUACAUGCCUCGAGAGGGGUGGUUCGAUCGUGGUGGAAGUCUCUCCUCUGCUCUCGUCCUAAGAGUGUGAUAUUCCUCUUUGGACUGUGUCCCAGUUCGCUGCUAAGAAAAGUUACACGUUGUGCUGCAUCCUUUUUGAUGUCGUUCGCACCUGUGGUUUUUGGAGAAUUCAUCCUUUUCGGAUGCUCUCGACAAAGACUGAGAUAAAACUUGUCAGCUUAGAAAUGCAAUUAGGAUAGAAGACAGUGUCUUUUUACCGUGUCGACACUUCAUUGUUUUCCUCCAAUCGACGUCGACUCGAUCGGUCCGGCGUCCAGCAAAUAAAGCUUAUGCCUUGUGUUUUGCAAUAUAACCUUCAACGCGGUCUAUACUUGAUGUCGAAAUAAAUAAAUAAAUGUUGAUGCGAUGUUGAUGUCUCUUUUGUCGUUAUCUUCAAUGCUCUUCUUGAUGUUUAUUUUUCUUUUUCUUUUUUUUUUCAAAAAUAAAGGAUGCAGUUGAGGCCGAUGGAUAAAUAUUGCUCUUGGGAUACACGAUUUUCCUUUCUUUAUCCAUGUAUGUCCUCUUGCGGGGCAUGCAAAUCUUCCCGCGAUACGUACAUUCCUGCGAGGUAUGAAAUCCUCUCGCUAUGCAUAACUUUCAGCGAGGCAUGAAAUCUUCUCGCGAUGUGAAAAUUUUAAUGCGGCAUGGAUUCUUCUCGUGAUGCAUAAAUUUCGGCGAGGUAUAAAGCCUUCUCGCGAUAUAUAAAUUUGACGAGGCAUGAAAUCUUCUCGUCGUGCAUAAAUUCAAGCGAGGUAUAAAGUCUUCUCGCGAUAUAUAAAUUUGACGAGGCAUGAAAUCUUCUCGUCGUGCAUAAAUUCAAGCGAGGUAUAAAGUCUUCUCGCGAUGUAUAAAUUUGACGAGGCAUGAAGUCUUCUCGUCGUGCAUAAAUUCAAACGAGGUAUAAAGUCUUCUCGCGAUAUAUAAAUUUGACGAGGCAUGAAAUCUUCUCGUCGUGCAUAAAUUCAAGCGAGGUAUAAAGUCUUCUCGCGAUGUGCAAAUUUUGACGAGACAUGAAUUCUUCUCGUCGUGCAUAAUUGUUGAUUUGCAACGCAUGAUUUUCGCAAUGCAUGACUUUUCCGCGAUGCAUGAUUUUCGCAAUGCAUGACUUUUCCGCAAUGCAUGAUUUUCGUGAUGCAUGAUUUUCGCGAUGCAUGUUUUUUGCGAUGCAUGUUUUUCAGCAAUGGAUGAUUUUCUCGAUGCAUGAUUUGUGCGAUGCAUGAUUUUUGCGCCAUGCAUGAUUUUCGCGAUGUAUGUUUUUCCGCAAUGCAUGAUUUCCGCGAUGCAUGAUUUUCCGCAAUGCAUGAUUUGUGCGAUGCAUGAUUUUUGCGCCAUGCAUGAUUUUCCGCGAUGCAUGAUUUUUCGCAAUGCAUGAUUUUUAACGAGGCCUGGAUGUCUCGAUAAUGUUCCAACUGUAACGAGGUGGAUGACUCGAUAAUGUUCCAACUGUAACGAGGUGGAUGGCUCGAUAAUGUUCCAACUGUGACGAGGUGGAUGGCUCGAUAAUGUUCCAACUGUAACGAGAUGGACGGCUCGAUAAUGUUCCACUGUAAUGAGGUGGAUGUCUCGAUAAGGUUCCAACUGUAACGAGGUGGACGGCUCGAUAAUGUUCCACUGUAACGAGGUGGAUGGCUCGAAAAUGUUCCACUGUAACGAGGUGGAUGGCUCGAUAAUGUUCCACUGUAACGAGGUGGAUGUCUCGAUAAUGUUCCAACUGUAACGAGGUGGAGGGCUCGAUAAUGUUCCACUGUAACGAGGUGGAUGUCUCGAAAAUGUUCCACUGUAACGAGGUGGAUGACUCGAUAAUGUUCCAACUGUAACGAGGUGGAUGGCUCGAUAAUAUUCCUGCAAGAUAAAAAGAAACUUGUUUAGAAAAUCACUUGAGGCAAUAUAAAGGAAUAGAGAUAAAAUAAGGUGGAAGAUUUUCUAGGUUUUGUUGAGGAGUCCACGAUGGGUGCAAGUGACGCCUUUUGUCAUUCUUGACAGCUUUACAUAGCCAUUUUUGUGACUUCAAUGUUCCUGCAUCCAAAGAAAAAUUCUUAGUUUGAAAGACUGAUUUGUGUUGGUUUGUCUCCAUGCUCCUUCUUGCAGUUGACUUGCACGCUCGCCCAUUCUUUAUAUGACAUAUUUGAUGGAAUUUUGAGGACCCUCCUCAAAAAUUUGUCCCGGUCUAAAAUUUAUAAGAACUCUUAUAAUUUGCUCUGUUAACUCUGAGGUUGCUCAUUCUGGAAUUUUGAGGCCCCUCCUCAAAAUUUGUCCCAGUUUAUCUCAAUAAGUAACAAAUGAUAUUUGUGGAAUUUUUGAGAUCAUCUCAAAAAUUCUGUCCCAGUUGCAAGCUAGAUUGUCGUAAUUUUUGAGAUCCACCCAAGGCUAAUCUCUGUAGAAUUUUGGUCUUCUUUUUUGACUUUGAUAAAGAAGUCCAACUUCCAAUGAAUUUUUGAGAUCCUCUCAAAAAUUCUGUCCCAGUUUCCAUUAUGGAGAGAAAUAAAAAUCUUCUGGGUAUAUGACCGAGCCGUUGUGGCGCCUACGUAUCCCGUUGAAUCAUGAAUCAGGUCAAAUGUAGUUCCAACCGUAGAAAUAAUAAAGGGGGUAAAUGGGGUGACCGAAGCCGACAUAGGCCGCCUACGUAUCUCGUUUCUCGAAAAUUCAGGUCAGACGUAGUUCAAGAAAAGUGCGAUAUAUUUUCAAAAGAAAGGUAACAAAACUUCAUAUGUAAAAUUUGGCCAAUGUUGGGCAUUCUUCUUCUCGAUCUUUGAUGAUGAAUAUCUUUAAACGACUUAAUUCAAAAAUGUCUUGUACUCACUCUCGAGUAUCCAAUAUGUCAUCCAUUCAUGUGGUUUCCUCAAUAUUGAUCAAAUUGUUGUUGAUCAUGUUUUAUACCUUGUGCUUCAGAGUUGAACAAUUCUCUGUGUCAUGUCCAACGGCUCCUGAAUGAUAAGCACAUCUGUGGUCAGCUCUGUAAAAUUUUCCCAAAGGAUUGGCUGGUCUUCCUUCUAUAGGAUAGAGCAUACCCAUUGCUUUCAACCUUUCGUAAAGUUGAGUUUGAGACUCCUUUAAUGGGGUAAAUACCUUAGGGGCCUUCCUGAAUUUUAGGCGAGGAAAUUUUUCCUGACUGACAUUAUGGUUUUGAUAUUUCCGUUGAGAAGCUGACCUCGUAUGAGUAGCCGUGAUCAUGCUUACCUCCUCCACUUUUCCUUUUGAUUUAUCCAUAUCACUGAUUCUAGCAGAUUUUCCAUUAGAUCGCAAUGCGGUAAGUCUGAUGAGCUUUCCAGUCUUGAAACCAUCUUCCAAAGCUUCUCCCACUUUGACAAUCUCGACAAACUUUUGUUCCAUCAUACACAACAUUCUUUCAUAGUACUCGGGCUCUUGAGUACGAAUGAACAUUUCGGUGAUCUCACGCUCGGACAUUGGAGGUUGAACUCUCGCAGCCUCUUUUCUCCAACGAAAAGCGUACUCUCGAUAAUUUUCUGUAGACUUCUGUUUGAUCUUCUCCAAGUAGUAGCGAUCUGGGGCAUCUUCUAUGUUAUGCCCAAAUCUUUCCGUGAAAUCCUUUGCGAGUGCAUUCCAACUUUUCCAUUGUUUCAGCUCCUGUGAUGUAAGCCACUCCAGUGCUUCUCCACUUAAACUUCGACUGAAGAGACGCAUCAACAAUGCUUCAUUUUUGCCAACUCCCACGAGUUGAUCACAAUAAGCUUUCAGAUGUGCUAGAGGAUUUCCUAUUCCAUAAAAAGUGACAAACUUUGGCACUUUGAACCCUUCUGGAAGGUCGAGAUUCGGAUGGAUGCAUAAGUCCUUAUAGCUCAAUCCAUCAACUUCGGAAAUAUAGUGCAACUCCUUCAUGGCUUUCCUGAUCUCUUCUUUCAUAUUCAGCUUGACUACCUCUUCUUUUGACCUCCACUCUCUCUCCUGUUCCUUAUAGUGAUCAAGCUCGGAACAGUCGGCAUAAGGUUCAUUUGAAGUUGGGAUUUGGAAAGUAGUCUUUUGAGGUAUGGUUGGAACAAUGGAGAGAUUCUGGGUAUUUUGAUAAUUUUGGGAAAAUUUUGAGGAUCAACAUUUUGGUUUUAAAGAUGGGGGAAGGUUUGAGCAUUGUUCGUAUUUUGGUUUUGAGUGAGCUGAAGGAUUUAAUUGGUAUUAUGAGGAUGAUGUGGUGCUUGACACGAUGUGGUGGCGUGAUGGGGAUUGGGGAUAGUUGAGUCAAUGGUUGGAGGAUUUUGAGCAGGAUUAGAGAGAAGGUCCUGAACCAGUUCCGCGUUCGAGGGAGGAAAGUAGAGUGGAGGUCUUCCGUCUCUUGGAGGGUUGAAGGAUAAAAUUGGAUUAGGCAAAUCUCGCAUCCUUUGCAUUUCGACCCUCAUUUCGUCAAUCUGUUGCAUCAAUUGCAUAAUCGAUUCAUUUUUAUCAGCAGCGGCGGGUUGAGCCACGACAACAUCACUCACGUCAAUCUCCUCAUUGUUAUCCCCCAUUGCUGUCUUUUCUUUUUGCAAAUUUUGAUCGGGGAAGGAAUUUUUUGGGGCCUUAAACCUUGUGAAAUACGGAUGAUCAACCAACACAGAUCAGUUUUAAAUACCUGACAAAUGAAAAAACUCAAAAGAAUAAUAUGUUAGUGUCUGGAGGUGGUAAAUAAUACAAGAAUAUCACAUAUAGGUGAAAACACAUAAGAGUUGUUUUAUCCGGAAAUAAACUAGCUCACCAACAUAGAGAAAUGAUUAAAUAGACAGGAAUUUGUCUACUUGACUUCGAGAUUAGCGAAUAAAAAUGUCGACCCGAAUCGAAACAAAGUUGACGGUAUCUUCCAUUACCGUACUUUGAUUUUGAUUGAGAUGUAACUCCAAUUUCUUUGUAAGAGUCGAGAAAGAUAAAAAUUUUCAAAAUUCUUUUGAUUUGAAAUGAUGAAUCUUUUCUGAUACGAGAGUAGUACUAAAGAAAGCUUCUUUUUGUUGUUUUUUUUUUUUUAGGAAACUAAAGACUCGAAGAGUAUUUGGACGCACUUUUGAUAGUGACUUGAUAUUUGUGCUUACAGGUUCUAAAAGUAUUUGAAAAGGAGUGAGCUAGAAUAUCUCCAGAUAAAACAACAUAUUCACAUAAGCAGUUGUAACACGUAAACAAAUAUUACGCAUACUAAACAGAUAUGUGACCCUUUUCUGUCAAGGGUAGGCCUAGCACAUUCGAAUGAUGCGUCGUGAGGUUGAAGACCUUAGACGCGAUUUGGCGGAUUUUCUACUAAAAUGGACUUAAUAUGCCUUGGGUACUAAGUCGUCCUAGGCUGAUGCCUAAAUCGAUUUUGGUUUCGCUCUAUCUUAGGCUUUCUAGAGUUGUUUUCAAAUACGGUUACCCGAGUCGGACAAACAUCGGGGUGGAGCUAUCGAAUAACGUCGGAUGACCGCAUUCCGACUAUUUAUUCGAUACUCCCAAAUGAGUUCUUGGGUAUUUCUGAGAGAAGUUGCGGUAAGCCGCGUAACUUCCGUUUCCUGACGCAACUAGUUGCCGUUUGGCGGAAGUUAUGCCAUGAGAAAAUGCAAUUUCUAAAACUAUACAAUUUUAAACAAUUAAACAAGUUAGUCAAAUAGAGUUAGUCUUAGGGUGAGAAUCCUCCGUUCCCCAGCGGAGUCGCCAUUUCUGUUUUAUCAAAAAAUUGAUUUUCGAAAAGAGUUCGUUUUAUUUUAAAGUAUUUUCGACUUUUAGGAGUCGCCACUUAAUUUUUUAAGAAAAAUCAAGAAAACUUAUUUCCAAAACAACUUAAACAGAAAAAUUUGUUUUGAAAAUAUUUUAGGAGGGUUCGAGAUUCCUAUUAGCGUCUUAGGAAGGUGUUUAAAGCACCUAAGACGCUCCGCUAACUACGAUUUUCCGACGAUUAACUUAUUUGACUAUUUUGUUUUAAAGACUUGCAAAUUUUGAACUUCUUAAGAUAUCUAGGCAAACUUUAUAAGUUUCGAAAUAUUUACUUUGCAAAAUCAUUUUUUAAGGCUAAGGCACUUUAUAUUCAAACAAACUUGUAGAAUAUUAGCUUCAACAUUUCGCUAAAGUUGAACUUUUUUAAACUUUUACUCUAAGCAAUUUUUCCAAACUUAAACAUCUAUCUUUCUUAACACUUAAAAUUUAAUUUUAAUCUUGAUAAAAGUAGAGAGGCAUUUCGACGGGGAUUUGGAGUUUUCUAAUCCUAACUCUAACGAUACUUUAAACAAACGCACAUAAGCAAGUAAUAAGGAGAGAGAGAGAGAGAGAGAGAUUUUGGGUCCAACUUCGGUUCUGUUCGCCUUGACCGAAUGUUGGACCCACCUGCUUUUUGGGCUUCGACCCAUUUCUCUUUCGUACCUGUCCUAGUCUAAACAUGCAAAAUAAAUUUCAAGGAAAUAAGACAACAAGGGCUUAUGCCCAUUACAAAAUGAAAUACAAAAAUAUAAAAAUAAAGUAAAACGUCUUCUAAUCCUCUUCUUCGAAUUUCUUCAAUCUUCAAGGGAUUUCAAUUUCGAGGAGCUGUCCACCGGAUUUUAUGACUUUGACUCGGCAAGAAGAAAUCGAGCCUUUUAUGGCCUUUCUUAAAGAUGCCAAAGGGGAGAGUCCAUUGGACUCGUUCGGAGAGAGAGUUAUGCAAAGAAGAAGAAAGAAAUAGAAAUUAGUGAUUUAACAAGAAAGGUCCAACAUUAGUUUAAUACAUAAAUAAACUCAAACAAUACACAAAUAAUGCAAGUCGAGUAUGUUAAACAAUGGAGGAAACCAACAGAAACGGAGAAAGAUUAAUUUCCAAAUCUAAUCAAAAGCUUCAUAUUCAAACUAAUAAAUAACACCACCAUAAGUUCAACCACGUACUUAAAACAAGAAGAAGAUCAUAAUAGAAACAUAUUCAAGAGAAAAGGGCUCCAAAGCUCACAUUGAUUUAACCAACACACUACGUAUAACAACAACUAAACAGAGGCUUCCUAAUGCAUCGACUAUCAGGUAAAUUCCUACUUGAACCCAACAGUUGACUAAGCCAAACGGAGUUCAAACAGAUUCACCAAACUGUAGGAAUAAACGAGUUUAAACUCAACGAGGCUCAUGUCGAGAUGAAGAAUAACCUUAAACGCAACGUGACCAACAAAAUCGAAUUAAAAAGAAAAAGAAAAAUAAGCAUGGUCUCGACCUCUUUAGCAAAUGCCAUCUAGACCGAAAUAAAGCACAGAGAUACAUUUUGAAAAGUCUAAAACAUGGAACCAAUGAAGACCCACAGCAUUCGCAAGUAACAACAACGACUUAUCAUAUCUCAUCUAAUAUUGCGACAAAACGCGACUUAACAGAUGAUAACUUAAAUAAACUUGACUUGAGGGGAAACGAAGGGAUAGCAAUAAACGAGCAGCCGAAAAAGAAGACGAAACACGAAAACGCAAUGGAGAAACAACAACAACGAGAUUUUCCAUUCUUUCUCCUCCUCUUUUUUUUUCUUUAUAGCAGCAGAACAAGCCAACGAAUAGAGAAGACCAACAACGAAUAUCAUUUAUCACGUGACAUCGAAACCAGACGCGACUUAGACAACAACAAUUAGCUACUUAACGUGAGAAAGAAACAAAAAAAACUAAGAUGAAAAUAGAAGAGCAGCAAUCAAAGCAUGGCAACACAUAUAAACGAGCCAGACUAUUAUUACAUGAAAAACAACAGACGCAGCCAACAAGAAGAUUUUAAAAUAAUAAAGAAACGGGGGAUGUACCUUCCUCGGAGCAGCAGAACGGGGACGAUACGAGCAGGGGAUGGGGACGACUACCACCGUGCGAGCACGAACACCAGUCCAACGCAAGCUAGCUUAGAAAACUUCCUCCUCUCCUUUCUAAGAACACGAGACAAGUCUUCCUCUGUAGACACCUCUGUGAUAAGAAAAUCUAAACAAGGUUUCUAAUCCCCCCUGUUCAUCCAAAAGGUCUAACCCCUCAGAAUUUCAAACCUCUGAAAUUUGAACUCUAAAUUGUCCAACUACGAUAAAACCGAAAAGCAACAGAAUACUCUCGAAUUUUAUCUCAACCUUUUUGUGAUGGAACCCCAAAAAAAUUCCCAGAAAAAUCGUCCCCCCCCAAGUUUCUAACACUUUGUCUUAAAAAUCUAUUUCCGAAAAUCCAACAAAAAUCGCUAACCCCUUUUUGAAGAGAGGUGGGGGUUUAUAUAGGUGAAGCUAGGGUUUCGAGGGAGCGGGUAAGACGAUUUCUGCCCAUUUUGAAUUUGAAAUUCAAAAUUCCGCAUCUGAAGGAAUAUGCCACUUUGAUGCCAAGAUUCCCAAUGGAAUCGAGUUGAGGUGGAGGGACGAGAUUAUUCCAUCGUCCCUUUGCCCUUGCGUGGCUCGAAUCCGCAUCGCAAGGACGGAGUCGUGUUGUUUUGCACUGCAAGUCGUACGAAAAAGGGAGAUGUCGCAGAGGCUGCAGAGGUCCGUUGGGUUAUUUCGUUCCUCCACGCGCUAGAGAGAGAGGGAGAGAGGUGGGGGGAGAGUAUCUCGCGUGAGAGACGCGGGAGAGAGGGCGUGGGGGCAACGCGGUUUCUGUUGGGGUCGCGUGGGGGAGGGUUUGGCGUUUCUGGGUUCUGUUUGC